rnacentral:tRNA from 1 species
GCAGGGGUUCCGGAGCGGUCAAACGGGACGGACUGUAAAUCCGUUGGCCUUGUGCCUUCGGGGGUUCAAAUCCCUCCCCCUGCA